GACGGAGGAUGCAAGCGUUAUCCGGAAUUAUUGGGCGUAAAGCGUCCGCAGGUGGCUGUUCAAGUCUGCUGUCAAAGCGCAGAGCUUAACUCUGUACAGGCGGUGGAAACUGAAGAGCUAGAGUAUGGUAGGGGUAGAGGGAAUUCCCGGUGUAGCGGUGAAAUGCGUAGAUAUCGGGAAGAACACCAGUGGCGAAGGCGACUUACUGGACACAUAUUGACGCUGAGGUGCGAAAGCGUGGGGAGCAAACAGG
rnacentral:rRNA from 1 species